AUUUGUGGCGGGAACAUCUGGCGCCACCUUUUGACAAACAUUAUUUCCCCGCGCUUGGUUUAUUUACGUCCAACGUAUUUCGUGAAAAGCUUAUUGCUUGUUAGCUCUUUUUAAAUUUUUCGUUAGAUUGUAAGAUACUAGCGUGUUGUACUCGUUGUGAAGUUGAAUAAUACAGUUAUCAAAAAUAUGCAGUCUGCCAAAAAGUUGUGUCAAAAGAUGAACGGCAAAAAGAUUGCGGUGGAAGGGAAUAUUGCUGCUGGCAAGUCUACGUUUACGAAACUCCUUGAGUUCGAAACGCCAGAAUGGAAAACAAUCCCAGAGCCCUUGUCGAAAUGGACGAAUGUAAAUAUGGAUGAUGUAUUAACAACCUCACAGAAAAGUGGUGGAAAUCUUCUAGAUUUGUUUUACAGCGACCCACAACGAUACGCAUACACUUUCGAGUCGUUUACGUUUAUUUCUCGCGCAAAAGACGCAUGUCGAUAUCGGAAUUUUCACCCUGGAGUAAACCCUGUGCAAUUUUUUGAGCGCUCGGUGUACAGCAGUAAGUAUGCCUUUGCUCAAAAUUCGUUUGAAAGUGGCUUGUUAACAGAAACUGAAUGGAACAUGUAUAAAGACUGGAGCUCGUACCUUAUAAAAAUGUCACCCGACCUAAAACUAGACGGCAUAAUAUAUCUCCGGGCAGACCCUGAGGUUUGCUUCAACCGUAUGCUGAAAAGAGCUCGGCAGGAAGAAGGAGGUGUCUCACUUGAAUAUCUAAAGUGCCUGCAUGAAAAACACGAAGCGUGGCUGUACCGUAAAGAAAUCAACAUUGACGAAAGCCUGGAAGGAGUACCAGUCCUAAUUCUCGACUGCAAUGCCGAAUUUGAAUCUGAGCCGAAACAGUGGUCUCAGUUGAUGGAGCAAGUUAAAAAAUUCGUUGCAACUUCAGGAAACCCACAUAAAGAUGAUCAAAUUUUUUACAAUCAAGAUCCAGUUGAUCAAGAAAUGAACGAAUGUACUUCGGAUUUUGAAUACUAAGAAAAUCAAGAUUUUAUGUUUCCAAAAUGUUUGGUUUUACUUUUGUGUGAAAGACUUUUAUUUCUUAGAUCAUAAUCUAGUCUGCGAAAUAUGGCAGUUCCUGACGAAAUCUUUUGUGUGACAGUCAUUUUUUCCCGCACACGCUUCCAAAUUUUAAAAUAUCCAAAACACAUACAUUUUUAAGUCAUAAUAGAAAGUCCCACUUAAUUUGAUUAUGAUUCGAUUCUUUGUUUAAUUAAUUGUCAUUCGUCGGACAAAUUAUGGCAUGCAUAACCAAAAGUUUGUGAACAAAAUCGCACGUUUACCUGCUAUACUCUGCAGACUUACUAAAUCAUAACAAUUUACUUCAAGUUGUUUUAAGAAUGCUUGUAUCUGCGAAAGAGUAUCAUCUUACCUCAAUGAUGUAACAAGUUAUUCCUGAAAAAAGGUUCAAUUUUAAAAUUUUUCACUACUAGUCGCACUAUUGCGCAGGAACAAAUUUUUUGUCUAGGUUUGUCAUACUAUCAAUGAAGCAAUCAUAGUGAAUAUGAACAGCAUUAUUAUUUGUAAAAUACACAUAUCUAUCUAUAUCUAUGUUUUAAUUUUUCGGCCAAGAGUUUUUACAUUCCCAAAUGACUGUGUGUGUCGCAUACAUUUUGUUGGUGGACCAAUAUAUUAGUUUUGUUUAUAAGCUAAUCCUUUUUUUAGGUUUAUACAUUUUACCAAUACUCAAUUUUUAACAAUACCGUAUUUCAAUGCUUCAUAACUUUGUGCUGUUUCUUGAAUUUUAG